CAGGCCCCGGGGUUUCUCCUUCCCAGCCCGGAAGGCUCUACCCUCCGCAGGUGGGCUCACUCUGCGUGCAGGUGUGCCUGGUUCUAGGGAAUGAUCCUGACCUGUCAAGUUACACCUCCCACCUGCGCUGCAGCGGGACCCAGGGAGGCCGGGUGCCCGAGGCACUUUUAAACGCGGCUCAGGAGGGGUCCCUCCCCUUUCGUGGAGGAGGACGAAGGGUGCUGGUGCAGACGGUCUCAGGAGAGCGCGCCAAGUGGCCGCGGGCUCCCCGGCGACGCGCAGGAUGCUCUCACCUGCCUCGAACCCCUCGUCUUGCAAAAUGUUCAAAAUUGGAAAAAAAAGAAAGAAAAAAAAAACGGCGACGACUGCAGAAGGGCAGAAGAAGCAGUUGUGGAUGGCUGCUCAAGAGAGAGGAGAGGGAUAGAAGAAACCAAAGGUUAUAUUGGUUGGGUAAUAAGACCCUCUGAAUUCCACAGAAGAGGAAAUCAGGACAAAGACACAUGAAGAGGGAAGACCAUGUGAAGAAACAGGAAGAAGACGGCCAUCUACAAGGCCAGGAGAGACUCCGAAGAAACCUACCCUGUUGAUGUGCUGAUCUUGGACCUCUAGCCUCCAGAACUGUACAGAUGCCAACAGAAAUCGAUUGAGGAAGCAUGCAGGCUUCCAGAAAUUCACCAACACCUGAUCAGCUUUUUGCCUGCAAGUUAAAGUGACCUCUUGGGUCAAACCCUAGGUCCCUUUGAUUUUGACAUUUGCAGAGGCGUGUGAAAACCUCUUUGCUUGUUCUGGGUUGUGUGAGCUGCUUUCUCUUUCACCCUUGAUGUACGGUAAGAAAGGAGCAAUCAGAGACAGGCAUUUGGUGAGGCUUUAGUUUGUACCACUUUCACUCUUGUCCCCAACUCCCGCCUUGUCCAUGCUGGGUGUUCCCUGUACGAAUUAAAUGUACAGAUCUGAUAUUUUCCAAUUUGUAAACCUGAAUACAAAGCAGAAAUGCAUGUUUAUCAUGAUUCUGGAGUUCUAGUGAAUCAAGUGUUAAUUUCACAUGGCUUCAUUGAUUUGAAAUAAAUAAUGGGCAAUUUUCCUUCUGAAGGCUAAAUAUUGGUACAAAUUAGUUCAACUUUUUUUUUGAAAAUAAUUUGACAAUACUUUAUCGAAAGUUACAAAACGUUUGUAUCUUUUAUAUAGCAAUCCCAACUCCUAGGGGUUAUUAAAAGUGGUGGGAGGAAGCCUCAUGCACAACAAUGUUCAUUCAAGACUGUCUUAGAAUAACAUAAAUGUAAACCAAACAACACAUAUUCCAACCAUAUGCAUGGCUAAGAUAUGUAUAGUAAAAACUUCUUGGGGGAAAUAUUAUGUAACUAUUAGUAGUUCCCUUUGUUUGGAACACUUUCCACCCCUUCUGCCUUAUUCCUCUGUCAGCUAACUCCCACUUAGUCUUCAAGACUCAGGGUACCCACCACUGAGCUUAUAUAACACCUAGGCACACCUCUAUUAAAACAUGUAAAGCCCACUGCAUUGUAACCCGUUAAUUUUGCAAGUUAGUGUCCCCAACGGAUUGCAAUUCACUGAGGCGGAGUCUGUCAUUUGUGCAACAAGUUAAAAAUCAGAAAGCAAAGGUGAAGAAAUAAAAUUAUUUCUGAUAUAUAGAA